CGGCUGUCACUUACAGAUGGACCCGCGGCGCAUUAGCUAGUUGGUGAGGUAACGGCUCACCAAGGCGACGAUGCGUAGCCGACCUGAGAGGGUGAUCGGCCACACUGGGACUGAGACACGGCCCAGACUCCUACGGGAGGCAGCAGUAGGGAAUCUUCCGCAAUGGACGAAAGUCUGACGGAGCAACGCCGCGUGAGUGAUGAAGGUUUUCGGAUCGUAAAGCUCUGUUGUUAGGGAAGAACAAGUGCAAGAGUAACUGCUUGCACCUUGACGGUACCUAACCAGAAAGCCACGGCUAACUACGUGCCAGCAGCCGCGGUAAUACGUAGGUAGCAAGCGUUGUCCGGAAUUAUUGGGCGUAAAGGGCUCGCAGGCGGUUUCUUAAGUCUGAUGUGAAAGCCCCCGGCUCAACCGGGGAGGGUCAUUGGAAACUGGGAAACUUGAGUGCAGAAGAGGAGAGUGGAAUUCCACGUGUAGCGGUGAAAUGCGUAGANGAUGUGGAGGAACACCANGUNGGCGAAGGCGACUCUCUGGUCNUGUAACUGACGCUGAGGAGCGAAAGCGUGGGGAGCGAACAGGAUUAGAUACCCUGGUAGUCCACGCCGUAAACGAUGAGUGCUAAGUGUUAGGGGGUUUCCGCCCCUUAGUGCUGCAGCUAACGCAUUAAGCACUCCGCCUGGGAAGUACGGUCGCNANAGACUGAAACUCAAAGGAAUUGACGGGGGCCCGCACAAGCGGUGGAGCGUGUGGUUUAAUUCGAAGCAACGCGAAGAACCUUACCAGGUCUUGACAUCCUCUGACAACCCUAGAGAUAGGGCUUUCCCUUCGGGGACAGAGUGACAGGUGGUGCAUGGUUGUCGUCAGCUCGUGUCGUGAGAUGUUGGGUUAAGUCCCGCAACGAGCGCAACCCUUGAUCUUAGUUGCCAGCAUUUAGUUGGGCACUCUAAGGUGACUGCCGGUGACAAACCGGAGGAAGGUGGGGAUGACGUCAAAUCAUCAUGCCCCUUAUGACCUGGGCUACACACGUGCUACAAUGGACAGAACAAAGGGCUGCGAGACCGCAAGGUUUAGCCAAUCCCACAAAUCUGUUCUCAGUUCGGAUCGCAGUCUGCAACUCGACUGCGUGAAGCUGGAACCGCUAGUAAUCGCAGAUCAGAAUGCCGCGGUGAA
rnacentral:rRNA from 1 species